rnacentral:rRNA from 1 species
CUACCUAUAAGACUGGGAUAACUUCGGGAAACCGGAGCUAAUACCGGAUAAUAUUUUGAACCGCAUGGUUCAAAAGUGAAAGACGGUCUUGCUGUCACUUAUAGAUGGAUCCGCGCUGCAUUAGCUAGUUGGUAAGGUAACGGCUUACCAAGGCAACGAUGCAUAGCCGACCUGAGAGGGUGAUCGGCCACACUGGAACUGAGACACGGUCCAGACUCCUACGGGAGGCAGCAGUAGGGAAUCUUCCGCAAUGGGCGAAAGCCUGACGGAGCAACGCCGCGUGAGUGAUGAAGGUCUUCGGAUCGUAAAACUCUGUUAUUAGGGAAGAACAUAUGUGUAAGUAACUGUGCACAUCUUGACGGUACCUAAUCAGAAAGCCACGGCUAACUACGUGCCAGCAGCCGCGGUAAUACGUAGGUGGCAAGCGUUAUCCGGAAUUAUUGGGCGUAAAGCGCGCGUAGGCGGUUUUUUAAGUCUGAUGUGAAAGCCCACGGCUCAACCGUGGAGGGUCAUUGGAAACUGGAAAACUUGAGUGCAGAAGAGGAAAGUGGAAUUCCAUGUGUAGCGGUGAAAUGCGCAGAGAUAUGGAGGAACACCAGUGGCGAAGGCGACUUUCUGGUCUGUAACUGACGCUGAUGUGCGAAAGCGUGGGGAUCAAACAGGAUUAGAUACCCUGGUAGUCCACGCCGUAAACGAUGAGUGCUAAGUGUUAGGGGGUUUCCGCCCCUUAGUGCUGCAGCUAACGCAUUAAGCACUCCGCCUGGGGAGUACGACCGCAAGGUUGAAACUCAAAGGAAUUGACGGGGACCCGCACAAGCGGUGGAGCAUGUGGUUUAAUUCGAAGCAACGCGAAGAACCUUACCAAAUCUUGACAUCCUUUGACAACUCUAGAGAUAGAGCCUUCCCCUUCGGGGGACAAAGUGACAGGUGGUGCAUGGUUGUCGUCAGCUCGUGUCGUGAGAUGUUGGGUUAAGUCCCGCAACGAGCGCAACCCUUAAGCUUAGUUGCCAUCAUUAAGUUGGGCACUCUAAGUUGACUGCCGGUGACAAACCGGAGGAAGGUGGGGAUGACGUCAAAUCAUCAUGCCCCUUAUGAUUUGGGCUACACACGUGCUACAAUGGACAAUACAAAGGGCAGCGAAACCGCGAGGUCAAGCAAAUCCCAUAAAGUUGUUCUCAGUUCGGAUUGUAGUCUGCAACUCGACUACAUGAAGCUGGAAUCGCUAGUAAUCGUAGAUCAGCAUGCUACGGUGAAUACGUUCCCGGGUCUUGUACACACCGCCCGUCACACCACGAGAGUUUGUAACACCCGAAGCCGGUGGAGUAACCUUUUAGGAGCUAGCCGUCGAAGGUGGGACAAAUGAUUGGGGUGAAGUCGUAACAAGGUAGCCGUAUCGGAAGGUGCGGCUG